AGUUCCUGGUUUGAAAAGUUAGAAGUAUCAGCGGACAUCGAUGAAAGGAUUAAGGAUUGAAAUAAUGAGGAAAUCUCAUCGUAUUUGGCUGAGUCAAACUUUCCUACGCUCUUGGACUUCUCGAAAUCAGCAUGAUAAUUCCAUAGUUGUGAGCAAAUUGACAUACGAAGAUGGGGACGGUAUAGUAUUGCCGAUUUAAGAAUCUUUAGCGCACGAUUA